rnacentral:sRNA from 1 species
UUGCUUGAUUGUAAGGUCUCUGUAUU